GUUGUGGGGAAUGUUGUUUGGAUCGAGGAUAUCAUAAAGGCAUACACAUGCAUUUAUAUGUUAUGAUGCAUUAUAUGAUUGUGUAAUGUACUUAUGUACAUAUAUAUAGAUGGUAAUGGUAUCGUCGGACCAGGCUUCAUCCCCCUCAAC
rnacentral:pre_miRNA from 1 species